GCCAGGUGUGGUGACGCACGCCUGUCAUCCCAGCAGCUCGGGAGGCUGAGGCAGGAGGAUCGCAAGUUGGAGGCCAGCCUCCGCAACAGCGAGGUGCUGAGCAACUCAGGGAGACCCUGUCUCUA
rnacentral:sRNA from 1 species